AUUGAACGCUGGCGGCAUGCUUUACACAUGCAAGUCGAACGGCAGCGCGGGCUUCGGCCUGGCGGCGAGUGGCGAACGGGUGAGUAAUACAUCGGAACGUGCCCAGUAGUGGGGGAUAGCUCGGCGAAAGCCGGAUUAAUACCGCAUACGACCUGAGGGUGAAAGCGGGGGAUCUUCGGACCUCGCGCUAUUGGAGCGGCCGAUGGCAGAUUAGCCAGUUGGUGGGGUAAAGGCCUACCAAGGCGACGAUCUGUAGCUGGUCUGAGAGGACGACCAGCCACACUGGGACUGAGACACGGCCCAGACUCCUACGGGAGGCAGCAGUGGGGAAUUUUGGACAAUGGGCGAAAGCCUGAUCCAGCAAUGACGCGUGUGUGAUGAAGGCCUUCGGGUUGUAAAGCACUUUUGGCGGGAACGAAAAGGACUGUGCCAAUACCACGGUUCGAUGACGGUACCCGCAGAAUAAGCACCGGCUAACUACGUG
rnacentral:rRNA from 1 species